rnacentral:lncRNA from 1 species
UCAUGUUAUGUCUUAGUUAAUCUCACUUUUUUUUCCAUAAUUUAUUAUACUAGUUCAAUUUAAAGAAAAAAAGAAUCUUUGUUUGUGUGGUUUUUUUUUGUAGAUUUUAAUAUUUUAUACAUAUUUAUAUGACGUUUUUGUUAUUUUUUUUGUUUAUUUAAAAUAUUAUUUAUCAUAUAUGAAUUAAAUAUUAUACAUAAAAUUUUAAAUAUGAUUUUAUGAAGAGUAACGAGUGCAAUGUGAAACUCAUAAAAUUUUAAAUAUGAUUU